ACCCAGCUAACGAGUUCUAAAAUAAGACGAAACACGCGUCCUGUAU
rfam:Schistosoma curassoni strain Dakar, Senegal genome assembly, scaffold: SCTD_scaffold0002950